rnacentral:rRNA from 1 species
GAUACUUGUUUAUGAUGUGAUGGAGGGACGGAGAAGGUUAUGCCAGCCUGGCGAUGGUUGUCCAGGUGGAAGGAUGUAGGUAGAUAGCUUAGGCAAAUCCGGGCUGUUAAUACCGAGAUCUGAUAGCAAGCUAGUUUACUAGCGAAGUGGCAAAUACCAUGCUUCCAGGAAAAGCUUCUAAACUAUAGUCAUAAACGAAUCG